rnacentral:rRNA from 1 species
GACGUAGGGCGCGAGCGUUGUCCGGAUUUAUUGGGCGUAAAGAGCUCGUAGGCGGUGUGUCACGUCGGCCGUGAAAACCUGCAGCUUAACUGUGGGCGUGCGGUCGAUACGGGCAUCACUGGAGUUCGGCAGGGGAGACUGGAAUUCCUGGUGUAGCGGUGAAAUGCGCAGAUAUCAGGAGGAACACCGGUGGCGAAGGCGGGUCUCUGGGCCGAUACUGACGCUGAGACGCGAAAGCGUGGGGAGCGAACAGG